rnacentral:misc_RNA from 1 species
UCUCCGUUGGUGAACCAGCGGAGGGAUCAUUACCGAGUUUACAACUCCCAAACCCCUGUGAACAUACCUAUUGUUGCUUCGGCGGGAUCGCCCCGGCGCCCUCGGGCCCGGACCCAGGCGCCCGCCGGAGGACCCAAACUCUUGUCUUUCAUGAGUAUCUUCUGAGUAACAUAAGCAAAUAAAUUAAAACUUUCAACAACGGAUCUCUUGGUUCUG